rnacentral:rRNA from 1 species
CCUACGGGAGGCAGCAGUGGGGAAUAUUGCACAAUGGGGGAAACCCUGAUGCAGCGACGCCGCGUGAGUGAAGAAGUAUUUCGGUAUGUAAAGCUCUAUCAGCAGGGAAGAAAAUGACGGUACCUGAUUAAGAAGCCCCGGCUAACUACGUGCCAGCAGCCGCGGUAAUACGUAGGGGGCAAGCGUUAUCCGGAUUUACUGGGUGUAAAGGGGGCGUAGACGGCAGCACAAGUCUGGAGUGAAAGGCCGGGGCUUAACCCCGGAACUGCUUUUGAAACUGUGCAGCUAGAGUGCAGGAGAGGUAAGUGGAAUUCCUGGUGUAGCGGUGAAAUGCGUAGAUAUUAGGAGGAACACCAGUGGCGAAGGCGGCUUACUGGACUGUAACUGACGUUGAGGCUCGAAAGCGUGGGGAGCAAACAGGAUUAGAUACCCCUGUAGUC